AACGAACGCUGGCGGCAUGCCUAACACAUGCAAGUGGAACGAGACCUUCGGGUCUAGUGGCGCACGGGUGCGUAAUGCGUGGGAAUCUGCCCUUGGGUUCGGAACAACAGUUGGAAACGACUGCUAAUACCGGAUGCUGACUUCGGUCCAAAGAUUUUUCGCCCAGGGAUGAGCCCGCGUCGGAUUAGCUAGUUGGUGAGGUAAAAGCUCACCAAGGCGACGAUCCGUAGCUGGUCUGAGAGGAUGAUCAGCCACACUGGGACUGAGACACGGCCCAGACUCCUACGGGAGGCAGCAGUGGGGAAUAUUGGACAAUGAGCGAAAGCCUGAUCCAGCAAUGCCGCGUGAGUGAUGAAGGCCCUAGGGUUGUAAAACUCUUUUACCCGGGAUGAUAAUGACAGUACCGGGAGAAUAAGCCCCGGCUAACUCCGUGCCAGCCGCCGCCGUAACAC
rnacentral:rRNA from 1 species